UCAGGUAUGGUGUAGUGGUAACACGGCCUCUUGCAGUAUUGACCAUUGCAAGCUGUUUAGAAGGCAGUCCAGGGUUCGAGUCCUUGUGCCUGAG